GUUUGAAGAACCCUGUCCUUGUGCACUACAGGGCCACUUCUCCCCUAAAAUAAGACACUCAGAUACGUCUGUGAUCCGUGUUUCCAUCUCAACCGUCUCAUUUGGAGAGCGCCAGGCGUUCACUCGCCAGUCCAAUACACCAGCCGGGGCAGAAGAGGCAGGAGAGACGGUUCACAAUUCAUCCAGGCAUCUUCACCAGUACGACAAGGAAUAAAGAAAAGCAGAACAUUUAUUUGUAAGGGAAAAGCAAGUCUCUCUGUCUCCCCUACAGUGGUAAAAGCAG